rnacentral:tRNA from 1 species
GCACGAGUAGCUCAACUGGAUAGAGCAGCGCCCUACGAAGGCGAAGGUUGGAGGUUCGAAUCCUCUCUUGUGCACCA